rnacentral:rRNA from 1 species
AUCGAACGCUGGCGGCAGGCCUAAUACAUGCAAGUCGAACGAGUCGCGGACGUGUGUGUAAUGUCUGGGACACUGCCCGAUGGAGGGGUAUAACUAUUGGAAACGGUAGUUAAUACCGCAUACCAUCGCUUGUGCCCAGAUGGGCUUAGUUAGUGGUUGGGGUAAAGGUUCACCUAGGCGACGAUCCCUAGCUGGUCUGAGAGGAUGACCAGCCACACUGGAACUGAGACACGGUCCAGACGCCUACGGGAGGCAGCGGUGGGGAAUAUUGGACAAGGGGCGCAAGCCGGAUGCAGCCAGGCCGGGUGGAGGAAGAAGGCCUUCGGGUUGGAAAGUACUUUCAGCGGGGAGGCGUUACCCGCAGAAGAAGCACCGGCUAACUCCGUGCCAGCAGCCGCGGUAAUUC